rnacentral:rRNA from 1 species
GACGUAGGGCGCGAGCGUUGUCCGGAUUUAUUGGGCGUAAAGAGCUCGUAGGCGGCUCAUCGCGUCAAUCGUGAAAUCCUGUGGCUCAACUACAGGCUUGCGGUUGAUACGGGUGGGCUGGAGUUCGGUAGGGGAGACUGGAAUUCCUGGUGUAGCGGUGAAAUGCGCAGAUAUCGGGAAGAACACCCGUGGCGAAGGCGGUUCUCUGGGACGGUACUGACGCUGAGACGCGAAAGCGUGGGGAGCGAACAGG